AAUAGAUACCCCGGUAGUCCACGCCCUAAACGAUGUCUACUAGUUGUUGGUGGAGUAAAUCCAUUAGUAACGCAGCUAACGCGUGAAGUAGACCGCCUGGGGAGUACGGUCGCAAGAUUAAAACUCAAAGGAAUUGACGGGGGCCCGCACAAGCGGUGGAUUAUGUGGAUUAAUUCGAUGCAACGCGAAAAACCUUACCUGGCCUUGACAUGCCACUAACGAAGCAGAGAUGCAUUAGGUGCCCGAAAGGGAAAGUGGACACAGGUGCUGCAUGGCUGUCGUCAGUUCGUGUCGUGAGAUGUUGGGUUAAGUCCCGCAACGAGCGCAACCCUUGCCAAUAAUUGCCAUCAUUCAGUUGGGCACUUUAUUGGGACUGCCGGUGACAAACCGGAGGAAGUGGGGAUGACGUCAAGUCCUCAUGGCCCUUAUGGCCAGGGCUUCACACGUAAUACAAUGGUCGGUACAGAGGGUAGCCAAGCCGCGAGGUGGAGCCAAUCCCAGAAAGCCGAUCGUAGUCCGGAUUGCAGUCUGCUAACG
rnacentral:rRNA from 1 species